GACGAACGCUGGCGGCGUGCUUAACACAUGCAAGUCGAACGGUAAGGCCCUUCGGGGUACACGAGUGGCGAACGGGUGAGUAACACGUGGGUGAUCUGCCCUGCACUUCGGGAUAAGCCUGGGAAACUGGGUCUAAUACCGGAUAGGACUCCGGACUGCAUGGUCUGGGGUGGAAAGCUUUUGCGGUGGGGGAGGGGCCCGCGGCCUAUCAGCUUGUUGGUGGGGUGAUGGCCUACCAAGGCGACGACGGGUAGCCGGCCUGAGAGGGUGACCGGCCACACUGGGAGUGGCGUACGGCCCAGACUCCUACGGGAGGCAGAAGUGGGGAAUAUUGCUCAAUGGGCGCAAGCCUGAUGCAGCGACGCCGCGUGAGGGAUGACGGCCUUCGGGUUGUAAACCUCUUUCAGCAUCGACGAAGCGAAAGUGACGGUAGGUGCAGAAGAAGGACCGGCCAACUACGUGCCAGCCGCAGCCGUAA
rnacentral:rRNA from 1 species